UAUUUUUAGUGUAGAAAAGUCUUAAUCCACAUAUGCUUGCAUAAAUGUGGAUUUAAGACCUUUCUACACGCUCCCAUAAUGAGCAUAAAAGUGAAGCGAAAGCUUCACGAUAUGCGAAUGAUGGGAAAAGGAUUGCGAGAGUGCGAAGCACGUAGCAAUCCAAAAAAUA
rnacentral:sRNA from 1 species